CAAACCACAGAUAUAUAAAGACCUGCCAAAGCAGAUCGUCAGUCCAGUCCGGAAACCAGCUGAUAGAAGCUCAAGAAGACGCACUGCUGAAAAUCAUGUCCCUGAACUCCUCGUCCCCAUUUAACGCCUCUCACCUUCACCCGCACGUCUCCUCCUCCAAUUCCUCCCUCGUCCCGAACAUGGAAGUCUGCUUCAACUACAGAUCCGGCUUCCUCAUCUUCAUUGCCUUCUGCUUCACCGACGUCCUCCUCCUCCUCCCUCUCUGCCUCCUGGUCUUCUACCUGGGCGUCCAAAGAUGGCGGCGACAGGGCUCCAAGGCGGCCAGCCACUGUGAUGUCUUCACCUACCACUUGGUCGCCACGGAGAUGAUCUGCGUCUUCGGGUGCGCCCUCUACUGCUGCGGCGCCUUGGCCGACGCAACGUUGUUGGUGAGGAUCGGCGCGUACGUCAUCUCAGUCGCCACCAACGGGCAGGUUCCCUUCCACAUCCUCACCUGCGUGGAGCGCCGACUGGCCGUCGUUUAUCCGAUCACCUACCUGCGGCUGAGGGAGAGGGGCGGGGUCAGGAUCAGGAAUGUUGCCGUCGGAUGCGUUUGGCUGUUUUUUCUCGGGUUGUUUGGCCUAAACAUGUUUAUGAGCUCCGCCUUUUUCAUUUGUCUCUCGGUGUCCUCCGUAGUCGUCAUCUCUUUCUGCAGCCUCUCUGUUCUCCGCGCCCUGAUUCGUCCGGGGCCGGGGGACGGGGCCGGCGGCCGGGAGAGGGUGGACCAGUCCAAGUUGAGGGCCUUUUACAUCAUCACGGCCAUAUUGGGAACUCAUUUGUUCCGGUUCGGGGGAUACCUGCUCGUCCUGUCAGCCUACAACUCCCUGACGUGGAGCGAGCAGGUCCGCUGUGACUUGUUGCUGGCGGGAGUGUGGUUCGGUUUGCCCGGCAGUCUGGUGUUACCUCUGCUCUAUCUGCACCGGGCAGGGAAACUGCUUUGUUGUAAGAACGGAAAUGGAUCAGAACAGGGAUCAGAGUAGCACGUCCUCAGUUUGCAUACCAGACCUGUCUUCUCUUCCCCAAAGUCCUGGUCCUCGUGAGCCUCCCGUCCCUCCGGGGGAAUGUUCCUCACAGUAGCUUUUGAAGUGAAUGUUUCAUCCCAUUGCAUAGAUGCCAUUGUGUUGUUUCUCUCUCUCCAGAAAAUGACUCCAACAACCCAGCCGUACUAACUAAAUAGUCACUCAGAAGACUGUACUAGUCUACAGCCUGUUUGGAUCCCCAAAUAACAAGGGACGCACACUUACAUGACAGCUCUUUUUAACAUCCACACAAACACAUUCACCAAAAACAGAAAUAUUUACAGUAAAGUAACACACAAUGUGCAUCUGGUUUUAAUGCGUCAUAUUUAUCUCGCUGGUCGCUGAUCUGUCUCCAAAAUGCAAAAAACUCCAGCUUGUGAAGUGAUCUAAUUUUAAAGCAUUUAACAUCUCGAGACACAAAACCUUUCAGUUUAUAUAUUGUAUGUCUGACAUAUUAUGGCAAUAAAUGUUUCUUGAUAAAAAACUUUGAUUUAAGAAACUUAUAACAAACCUGAUUAGAUCUUUUAUGUACACUAAUUGAUUCCUUCCUUGUGUAACAUGUGUUUUUAAAUGACUAAAUAAAUUGAAGCAAUAACGAC
ensembl:lncRNA